UUUAAAUGUAAAAUAAAUAUACUUAAUUAGUAUUAGUUAUGUUCUUGAAAUUUAAAGAUUUUGGCGGUAUUUUAGUCUAUUUAGAGGAGCCUGUUCUAUAAUUGAUAAUCCACGAUUAAUUUUACUUAAUUUAAAUAAAUUUGUAUACCGUCGUUAUAAGAAGAUUUUAAAAGAAUAUAAAUUUUUAGUAUUUUAUAUAAAAAAAUAUAUCAGAUCAAGGUGCAGUUUAUAGUUAAGAAGAAAUGGGCUACAAUAAAUUUAUUUAUUUAUAUGGAUUAAAGGGGGAAGAGACUUUAUGAAGGUGGAUUUAAUAGUAAUAAAAUUAACUUAAAUUUUAUGAUUUUUUUAGCUCUAAAAUAUGU
rnacentral:rRNA from 1 species